UUGCGGUUAAAAAGCUCGUAGUUGGAUCUCGGCAAGUAGAGGGCGGUAUGCUUCGUAGCAUUACUGCCCUAUUACUUGUAGUUUUGCCAGAGGUUCCUGGGUGCUCUUAAUCGAGUGUCUAGGGAUGCUGGCAGGUUUACUUUGAAAAAAUUAGAGUGCUCAAAGCAGGCUAUUACGCUUGAAUAUUCGUGCAUGGAAUAAUAGAAUAGGAAGUUGUUUCUAUUUUGUUGGUUUUCGGAAAUCGACUUAAUGAUUAAUAGGGACAGUCGGGGGCAUUUGUAUUCAAACGACAGAGGUGAAAUUCUUGGACCGUUUGAAGACAAACUACUGCGAAAGCAUUUGCCAAGAAUGUUUUCAUUAAUCAAGAACGAAAGUUAGAGGUUCGAAGGCGAUUAGAUACCGCCCUAGUUCUAACCAUAAACGAUGCCAGAUAGCGAUCUGAGGACGUUUUUUUUGUAGACUCCUCAGGAAGCUUCCGGGAAACCAAAGCGUGUGGGUUCCGGGGGAAGUAUGGUUGCAAAGCUGAAACUUAAAGGAAUUGACGGAAGGGCACCACCAGGAGUGGAGCCUGCGGCUUAAUUUGACUCAACACGGGAAAUCUCACCAGGCCCGGACCCUGGAAGGAUUGACAGAUUGAGAGCU
rnacentral:rRNA from 1 species